rnacentral:rRNA from 1 species
UACGUAGGGUGCGAGCGUUGUCCGGAAUUACUGGGCGUAAAGAGCUCGUAGGUGGUUUGUCGCGUUGUUCGUGAAAACCGGGGGCUUAACCCUCGGCGUGCGGGCGAUACGGGCAGACUGGAGUACUGCAGGGGAGACUGGAAUUCCUGGUGUAGCGGUGGAAUGCGCAGAUAUCAGGAGGAACACCCGUGGCGAAGGCGGCCGGCUGGGCCGACCCUGACACUGAGGCGCGAAGGCGUGGGGAGCGAACGGG